GCUCGCCAAUCGCGAGCCAGGGUAAAAGGAACCCUAGGCCCACGAGCCAAUCUCGCGGCCGUCUCCCUCGCUUCCUCCGCAGCCUCGCAGCCGCCUCCCCCGCUCCCUCCGCACCGCAGCCGCCCUCCACAGCCCGCAGCCGCCUUCCCCGCUCCCUCUGCACCUAGCCCCCCGCUUCCCUCCUUCUCUACUCUGCUCUCCACUAUGCCGCCUCCUCCUCUCUCACUUUUCUCUCCGGCGGCGGUGCCAAAGAAGGCGCACACGGGCGGUGGAUCCGUGCCGGAGAAGAGCUGCGGGGACUGCGCUUCGGUCGUGGUGGGGUGUAGCCGCGGGGAAGACGAACUUGGUCCGCCGCCCGUCUUCACCUUCUCGCCGCGACCUUGCUGCCUCCAUGGCCAAUCACACGUAUUUUUUUCUGUCCCUCCAUGGCGCUCGUUGCCGGCGGCAUAUCUCUUUUCCCCCUUACCCUCCCUUUUUAUCUACCUGUUGUUGCUCAUCCUCCAAUCUCUUAAAUUCAGACAGGCUGGACGCAACACACACGGUCUAGGAAGGCCACGACAUGACUAGAUAUUUGCUUGCUUGGUUUAGUCGCUUGUAAUCAGUGUACAUGCAUGUGACUUGUCCAUUUUAGCUUUUGUUUUUGCAGAUUAUCGGUUAUUUUUUGUGUUCGAACUUUUUUGUGUUCUUUUAUUAUCAAUUGUAGGUGCUGCUUCUAUCUUCUGGAAGUUAACAGCAUUUUUCCUUGUAAAAUCCUCACACCAGGCUGUCAUUGACAAGGAAAGGAGAGGAGACUACUUGAAGAAAACGUCCAGGUUGGGCCACAUAUCACAGAUGGAAUUCAGGAUUGGAUCGAACGCGUGGCGAUAAAGCUGGUUGACGGUAAACAAGGGACUCCUGAUGUUUGUGUGAUAGUUUCGUUGGAACUAUAGGUAAACAAGAUAAUUUCAUGUGUAGCACAGCUUGCAAUGCAGCACACUUAAAGCAUACAUGUGGAAGUGUGCAGUUCCUUCGGAUGUUCCCAUAGCUAUGUAAGUCUGCCCAGUGCAGGGACAAAAUCUUUUCUCACCGCGCAUAAUGACAGUGGCACUCUUGAUGAGGGGAUAUUGAAUCAAUGCAUUUUAUUGAAGCAUUAGGUCAAUUUUCAUACCGUGUAGGUCAGUAAAGACCAGCUCUUCCCUAAAUGUGUAUAUCUAUUUUGGCAUUUGCUUGCUUUUACACAUUUAGCUUCCUUGUUCCAGUACUAAAUGUAGUUGGUGAGCAGGUAUGUUUUACUCAUUUGAACAAUGAACUAAGAUAAUGAGAAGUUGCUGCAAUGCUUGCAGUUCUAUUGAGGUCCAUGUCAUGUGGUAUUACUAUAUCCUAAAUAGGCACUUUUUGCAAAGAAAUAUAAGUACGUUCUCGAAAAACCAUUUUUCUGAAUGAUAUGAACUAUGAAAGUGUAAUUGUACUUUGUAGUAGUUUCUGCUGAGAUGCAAUUUGGCUUAGGCAAAGUGGCAUUCGUUAUUAUAGUAAAAAUGGAAAGAGGUUACGAACAUAGAAAAUAUUGAAUUAUUGACGGAUCUCUCAAAACAGUCUCAGCUGGUUGUAGGUUGUUUGGUGAGGUUGCAGCUUGCAGGUUGCUGAGUUUCUCCUCUCUGCUUGUUGGUUUUCUUUGAUUAGUAGAACAAGUAGCACACCACGUGUUUGUGAAAAUGCUUCUCACAGAUGAAACUUUUUGUGUGCCUAGACCUACCUUCUUUCUUAGGAGAAUAUGCUUGCUGAGACAUUAUGGUCUAAAUUUCAUAAAUAAGUCCGUGCAUUUCUUUUCCUGGGUUCAUUUAGGUAUCUAGAACGUGUGUUCCUUAUGUGUUUCUGUCAUUGUGUGAUGGUAUUUAUGUAUUUAACUUUUUGGAACUUUGUUUCAAGAUUUGCAUAGAGCGGACCACCUUGCAACAGUGUUGGGUUAUAUAACCCAUGGUUUCUUCAUGAUUCAACUUUAUUAUCAGAUACAUGCAAGAGGUAACUAAUCUGUACCAUUUCUUUCUUUUCUAUCAUUGGUAUUUGCUUACAGGGAUAUGCAAGCAAGACCUAUUUUGGUUGGCAUAGUUAUGCUAGGAAGUGGAGUCGGAGAUUAUGCCUACGCCAUUAAUCAGUACACUAUGAAAUAAAUGAAACAUCAUGUGUUUUUCUAGCAGACCCAAAAUACCAAACUUAGUGAAGAUCCUAAAAGCAACAAUGGAAUGAUUUGCAAGGAAAUCUAACCAACCAAACAAACAUAACCAAACUUGCCUCAUUUUAUAGCGUUUAGAUAAUGUACAACAUUGUAUUGGUAUUGUACAACUAUUUAUUGGGUAGGUUAGCAUGAAAACAACAUAGUGCUGAUUUCGUUUACAUUACAAUUUAUUUGAUUCACAGAACCCGGGCAGCAUGAUUUUGGCAGGAGAAAGGAGGAUUAUCAUUUCUAGAGGUGAGUUGAGUUGCGGCUUGGUUGGAGAUGUUGGUGCGGUUCAAGAGGCCCGCUGGGUUCACCCUUUUCAAGGUUCUAAACCAAGGCAAGCUCAACAAGGUCGAGGUGAUUGCUCGCCGCCACCUCAGCUCCUGGAUCUAUGGAAGGAGUUCACGACUCGGACUCGACGAGAAAGUUUUGUGCUUCAUUUUUUUAUGGCAAAAUAACUUCUCUUUUUGAAACAAUUAGUAUGUCAUAUAUCUAUCACAUUAUAAUAGAGUAAGUCAACAAAAUCCCUUUUAUUUGAAUGAACAAGAAUCCGGUGUGUGCUGCUGAGCUAUGUGCCCCUUUUCCAAAUGUUAGAAAGGUUAUCUUAGUUGUCACAUAGAAGUUGGUUUGGGCUUCUAGGCUCAUUUGAUGUUUGCAUGACUUAUUUGAACCCGAUGCAGGCCUCACCGGCAUCCUGAGGUGACACAGCGACGGCCAUGCUCGACACCCUCUUUCGCGACUUGACGACAGCCUAGCGUCAUAGGCAGCUCAUCGGUGGUCCAGCGGAUGGCGACCCAUUUGGGUGGGUGACGACGACCGCAGCUGGUGCACAAGCUCACACUCCACCAGUCCGUACUCAACUCUUCGUCUCGGGUGCGGACUGAGAGUUGGAUGCUCUGUGCCAGGAUAUGAAAGUUUUGUGACCAUUGUUGUGCCAGCUGUGAGGUAUAAUGCUAAUUGGGCUUGUGAAUUUAUUGUGUCUUGGAAUGGAUUGCCGAAUUGUUCGGGUUUUCUCAGUAUGUAGUUUCUUUUAUUUAUUUUUUAUUCUUAUAAUUCAGUGGUCCUUGAUUGCAACCUGGUGUCAUCCUGUUCCUACUCACAUGUUACAGUAGUGCACGAGCUGACAGGGAAGAAAUCUUGGUUUCAAAGUUCUCUCUGUCCGUGGCCAACUGAGUCGGGUCUACUUAACUUUGCUAUCUGAUAGAUAUAGCUAUUUUAUUUUCACAUUCAAUUAGGCAAUCUUUUGAGGAGGUUAAAAUGAGUUAUAUUUUGGGCAUGCUUGAUGGCUAUUUUUAUGUUUUGUCAUGUUAGUAGUGUUCUUUAUUUGUUUAUGGGUCAGAUUGUUUGUUUGGUCUUAUGGUUUAGAUGUUUGUCCUCACAGUUUUGAUAUGUUUAUAUAGUACUUUUGGAAUGGGAUAUGAUUCUUUUUGGGUUUUUUAGUUUACGCAUUCGUUCUAAGAAUCUUGAUAUCUGGCUGUGUUGUUGUAGAUUUGUAAAAAAAAUUCUUGGGAUCCAUCUAUUCAACCAUGUUGGAGUAGGCUAUAUGAUCUUUUUAGUUCUGACCACAUAUGCUUCUUCCUUGGUCUGUUCACCAAGGUUUGCUCCCUUCCUUUCUCACUGUUGAUGCAUUAGCUUUGUUUCAUUAUACUCUUACGAUGCUCUGCAUAUGUGAUGAUCCACCACCAACUGAGGUAUAUAAAUAAGCUGUGUAUCCUACAUUUGUGCUGAUCCACACAACUUGCUGGUCUCCAAUUUAUUUCUUUUCUGACCAUCUGCAUUUGUGUAUGUAGUCAUGGACACUGACUUAAAAAAUGAACAAUGCUACCCCUUCAGCUGCAGGUGCAGGGUACUAUGUCUGGACUUGGCUUUUGAUUUCAAUUCGUCUUGCUUUUUUGUACUAAAUCUUUGAUUCGUGCUCUUUCUCUUUUCAAUAGUAAAUCAUCUUGCAAUACCCAUGGUGCCACACGUGUUUUAUUCACCAAUCCUGUCAAGAGAAAUUAAAAUCAAGACGCCGAUUAGCUUAGCCUUGGGCUGCUCCUUUUCUGCCUUCUGUUUCCUGUAUACACCCAUCUUUCUUUGAUGUACCUAAAUUUCUUUUUGUUGUGUUAGGUUGACAGUGACAGCAGAUGGAGCUUCUCUGACCGCUACUGAAGACACCGCUGAACAGCUUAACCAGACAAAGACAAAGUGCUAUUAUGUAGGCAUGGUUUAAAAACUAUAGCCUUUGGCUGGUCAAGUAGCCUUGCCAAAGCGUUUGUGUAAUCUCUACAAGUGGUAUGAAGCAAAUUCUAUGUAUAUAACACACACGAUGCAGAUAAUAAUUAUAUAGAAGCAGAGAAUCAACCUUGCUAGAGCGUUUGUCAAAUCUCUACUCAAGUAGCCUUGCCAAACUUUAUCUGUUGUGUUCUU